rnacentral:rRNA from 1 species
UGGGGAAUAUUGCACAAUGGGCGCAAGCCUGAUGCAGCCAUGCCGCGUGUGUGAAGAAGGCCUUCGGGUUGUAAAGCACUUUCAGCGAGGAGGAAGGUGGUGAGCUUAAUACGCUCAUCAAUUGACGUUACUCGCAGAAGAAGCACCGGCUAACUCCGUGCCAGCAGCCGCGGUAAUACGGAGGGUGCAAGCGUUAAUCGGAAUUACUGGGCGUAAAGCGCACGCAGGCGGUUUGUUAAGUCAGAUGUGAAAUCCCCGGGCUCAACCUGGGAACUGCAUUUGAAACUGGCAAGCUAGAGUCUCGUAGAGGGGGUAGAAUUCCAGGUGUAGCGGUGAAAUGCGUAGAGAUCUGGAGGAAUACCGGUGGCGAAGGCGGCCCCCUGGACGAAGACUGACGCUCAGGUGCGAAAGCGUGGGGCAGCAAACAGGAUUAGAUACCCUGGUAGUCCACGCUGUAAACGAUGUCGAUUUUGGAGGUUGUGCCCUUGAGGCGUGGCUUCCGGAGCUAACGCGUUAAAUCGACCGCCUGGGGAGUACGGCCGCAAGGUUAAAACUUAAAUGAAUUGCGGGUC